rnacentral:lncRNA from 1 species
GCUUUUCCUAGAUCCUAAACACUCUUCCUAUUCUACUGGAUUCCACAAUCAUUAAAAGGCUGCAUAAUGCAUUAUCUUUGGGUAUAAUAUAAACAAGGUUAGGAACUCGAUGGGGGUGCCAUUGAAGCCUAAAAAAAUUGCCAUUGAAGCCUAAAAAAAGAUUAAAAGUUUGGAGGGAAUACACUUUGUUAGCUUAUGGGUGGCGUGGAGAUACAAGAUGCAUAUUUUUAUCGUAGGUGCUACUUUGAAACAUUACGUUUUCGCCCAAUUAUUAC